UUUCCUCAUCCUCACAAACGAAUGCAGUGGAUACAAAUAAUCCUCUUUAGAGUUAUGUUACAAAAUUAGAGAAAUUGGGUGAUCAAUGGGGAAAUACUUUGUGGCAGUGCAAUUUUUGCAGUGUUGUCAAAAAGAGUUCUUACACUAGAGUUAGGGGCCAUUUGUUGAAGUUGUCGAAUUGGAAUUGGACCUUGUCAAAAUGUUACAAAGGAAGUUCUUGCGACUAUGAAGAAAUUAGAUGAGGAAGCUAAAGCGAGAAUAAAAGAAAAUGUGCCAAAGAAAGUACCUCUACCCCCUUCUACUAGAUCGGCUGGUUUUGUUCUGGAAGGUUAUGAGACAAGGAAACAAAGAACAAGUGGGAGUAGAAGUGAAACUAUAUCACCCGUUGAGAAGGCAUUUGACAGGGGUAAACGUGAUCAAUUGCAUGCAGAAAUUGCUAGGAUGUUUUAUUCCGGGGUUUUGCCAUUUAAUUUGGCAAGAAACCCUUAUUAUGUGACCUCCUAUCAAUUUGCCGCAAACAAUCCUUUGUCUGGAUAUAUCCCACCGGGAUAUAAUUUGUUGAGGACAACUUUACUUCAACAAGAAAAGACAAAUGUUGAGAGAUUGCUCCUACCGAUUAAGGGAACAUGGAGAGAGAAAGGUGUAAGCAUUGUGAGUGAUGGAUGGAGUGACUCGCAAAAAAGGCCUUUGAUCAAUUUUAUGGCGGUGACGGAGGGCGGGCCUAUGUUCCUCAAAGCCGUGGAUUGUUCCGGUGACACAAAAGACAAGUAUUUCUUUUUUGAGUUGUUGAAAGAAGUGAUAGAGGAGGUUGGCCCUGAAAAUGUGGUUCAAGUAAUCACAGAUAAUGCUAAGAAUUGUGCCGGUGCGGGACUUCUAAUUGAAGGAUUAUAUCCUAACAUCUCUUGGACACCAUGUGUGGUCCACACUCUCAACCUUGCCUGGCAAAAUAUUUGUGCAGCAAAGAAUGUGGAAAAUAAUCAAGUAACUUGUGACGAGUGUUCUUGGAUCACGAUAAUUGCGGAUGAUGUUUUAUUCAUCAAGAAUUACAUCAUGAACCAUUCCAUGAGGUUGGCUAUCUUCAAUGACUUCGUUCCUUUGAAGUUGCUCUUGGUUGCAAGUACUCGUUUUGCUUCUGUAAUGGUUAUGCUUAAAAGAUUCAAGCUUCUUAAAGCCAAUCUUCAAUAAGCACGAGGUGGAAUUCUUAUAGAGAGGAUGAUACGGGAAAAGCAAAGUUUGUGAAAGAGAAGGUGCUAGAUGACAUUUGGUGGGACUCCAUUGAUUAUAUACUUUCCUUUACCUCUCCCAUAUAUGAUAUGUUAAGGAUUUGUGACACGGAUAAGCCUUGUCUUCAUUUGGUCCAUGACAUGUGGGAUACAAUGAUAGAGAAGGUAAAGGUUGCAAUGUAUAGGCAUGAAGGAAAGCGGCAUGAGGACUCAUCUACCUUUUAUGAAGUUGUUCACGCAAUUCUCGUUGAUCGGUGGAACAAGAACAGCACUCCACUUCAUUGCCUAGCUCAUUCACUAAAUCCGAGGUACUAUAGUGAUGAAUGGCUUCAUGAGGGUCCUAGUAGAGUGCCUCCACAUAAAGAUGUUGAGGUUGCACGAGAAAGAAUGAAAUGCAUGAAAAGGUAUUUUCCUAAUUCAACGGAUCGCUCAAAGGUUAACAUGGAAUUUGCCAAUUUUUCAAGCAAGGCGGGAGAGUUUGGGGAUAGUGAUUCCAUCCAUGAUCGCUAUGCAAUGGACCCUAAGAGUUGGUGGGUUACUUAUGGUGCAAGCGCACCUUUGCUUCAAAGCGUAGCUUUAAAGCUACUUACGCAACCUUCUUCAUCAUCAUGUAGCGAGAGAAAUUGGAGUACUUACUCAUUUGUGCAUUCGGCUAAAAGGAAUAAGAUAACUCCAAAAUGUGCGGAAGACUUGGUUUUCAUUCAUAGCAACCUCCGCCUCUUAUCAAGAAGAACUCGGCAAUACAUUGAAGAACAAACGAAGAUGUGGGACAUUGCCGGAGAUGCUUUUGAUUCAUUUGGGGAUGUUGAAGAGCUUGAAAUUGCACAACUCUCCCUUGACGAACAGGAGUUGGAGGCCGUAGUUUUUACGGACGAUGGUGAUGACGGUGAAUUUGGCGAUGAAGCAAUGGAGGUUUAGCGAAAUACAAUGAUGAUUGCAAUAUUUUGGAUGGACAAUGAGAAUCUUUUGACUUUUGAUGAUGUUAAAUGAACUCUCUUUUUUGCUUGGCAUGUGAAUGGUGAACUUGUGUAAUGGAUAACUUUAGUCGCCAAUGGAAUAUUAUUUUUAUUUAUUUUUAUAUUCAACAUAUCCCCAAUGUAUCGUAUCCAACGUUUUGGAAAAAUCACGUAUCCGCGUAUCCGUAUCGUAUCAUAUCCGUAUCUCGUAUCUCGUAUCCGUAUC